CUCUAGUGAAAGUCCAUUUUUCCUGCUCCUUUUUGUUAAUCACAGGAUUCCAUUAUACUGACAAUAAUCUACAGUUAUUCGUAUCUGAACACUGAUCCCCAGUGAAGCCGGGAUGGAGUUAAAAUGCUUGGAAUUUGUUCUCUAUAGUGCUGCUUUUCAUGUUGAGCAAAAAUACAGCACUUAUAAUUUGUUCCCCUGUAGUAUUUGUCAUCUUUUUACCGCUCUCUUAAGAGUGUAAUUCCUGCCCAAUAUUUUCUUUUUAAACUACCUCUCAUUUAAAUACACGCUUUGUGUUUUCUUAAAAUAAACGCUGUCAUGCAGCUCUUCUACUUCCUUUAUUGAGAAAACAGUAAUACUCAUACGAUUGUGGAAAAAAAGUUGAGAGGGAGGGAGAGACAGGGAAAGGAAGCAGAAAUCAUAACCAAAAAGUUCACACUGAUUAUUGAAAUAGUCAGUGCUCCCUUGGGCUGUGGGGAAGGGAAAGGCACUUUUACAGUGUUUUGGAACAUUUUUCUUCCUCGGGAUUCUGACUUUUCACCACAUAUUUAUGCUACGUUGAGAGAGGAGAAGAAAAGAAAAAGAACUCAAAGGUUUUACAGUUUCGAAGCAAAUAAAGGGGAGAUGCUGUUGUGGCUGCAGAGGUGAGCUAUGGACAGCUGGUGGAAGAGAAUCAGGCCCCAUGGUAAAGAGGGAAAGGACGGAGCAGCUCUCUUGUCUGCCAGAAGAUGAACAUUGCAGUGGGCAUACCAUGGGGCCAGACCACCAGCAGAGCAUUAAACAAGGACAGAUGUGAAUGCCAGGAUAAAAAUGAAGACAUUCCUGAAGUGCUUACUGAAGCUGUUGAUGAUAGUAUUUCAGAACUUACAAGUUUUCCUGACCCAGCUUUGAGCAGUUUACAGUGUCAUCAUAUUUUCCAUCUGAAAAUCUAGGCAGAAGAGCAUGUUUACAAUAGUUCCGUUAGAAAUAGCUUGAGAAAGUCUUCAGUGGGAGAAACCCAAAAUAGAAAUGAGGGUGGUUCCAAUGCCUCCCUGAAGGUAUGGUAUCUUCUUGCGAAGCUCCCUGAGAACCAGGAACAAGGAGCUGUCACAGCAGCAAGAUACAAGUCUUGGCUAAAACUUGGACGUCCAAAUCUUGGAGUGAAGGAACUUAUCACAGAAAACUACCACCACAAUAUGCCAGGUAGUCUAUAACAGGAGCAGUCUCUAGGAGAUAAAAAAACAUCUUUUUUUUUUUUGGAGAGGUACUGAAGUUCUACUUAUGGGCAUUUACAUAACUCAUGUACUCCCUAUGCAUAGUUAGUGAGUGGAACCAUCUUCCUGCAGCUCUACUCUACUACUUAGUUAUCUACAGGGGAAAGAAAAAAAGAAAAAAGCUCAGUACAAUAUGAAGUUAUUACUGAAUGUGUUUCUUAGCAUGUAAAAAAUAUUGAAUUAACAUUAAAACCCUUUUACCCACUUUGUAAUAUUUGUAUGUAAAUUGUUACAAGUGCAUGAUAUGUUAAAUCCAUAAUUGUCAUAUUUUGCUGAAGACUGCGUAGAAUCAGUGAGGAUUUUCUUUUGUCUAAUAUUGGAGAGGUGGUUCAUGUUGGUGACAUGAAGAAAAUAUAAAAAAGCAGUUUAUCCAUGUAAACAUAUAGCCCUCAGACUCUUGCCAAGGACAGCAAGACCUAUUUUUAUCUGGUGAAUGAGUCCUGGUCCCAUAUGCUAAGAGUUGCUUUGGGAAGCUAUACGUUACAUAUCUAACUUCUCCUAAUUAAAUUUAAAUGCUACCUGAAAUUUGAUGCAAAGUAAACCAUAAUUUAGUGAUUAAAACUUUGGUAUACUGACUGGUUAUGACAACCAGAAAGGACUGCUAAGAGAUUAGGAAAAAGGGGGAGGGGAUAGAGUUUAAUCAGAACAAACACUAGCAAGAAACACAAUUUUAAUGGUUUUACAAAAUCAAUUUUCCAGUAAUAGUGAUAUGUUAUUUCAAAAUUAUUUUAAAGGAUGGGAGAAAGUUUAACCAUGUGACUUUAUCUUUUUCAGUGGUCUUUCUUAUUUGAUAUUGCAGGGAUUGGAUUUCACUGGGACACAUCCCAUUUCCACUGUAAUUUGUAAACUAAUGUUUCGUUUCUUCAGAAGGUAUGUUCCCAAACAAGUGCUUGCCAGCGUUAAGAAGUUGCCUCUUGUCCAAUUGUUUUCCAAUUGUUUGAUGGUAUUAAUGGGAGCAAAAAGAACAUUCAAGAUACCUUCUUGGUACUUCUCUGUAUUUGGGGUAGUUGCUAAGAGAAUGCCCUCACAGCUGAGAGAAAAAUCUAUUUGCAUCCCAUUCUGAAUGGCAGGGUUGUAACUUGGAGAGGUGGCCCAGAGUUAGAAAAUACUCAUCAUGAUACUGCCCAUAUUCAUGAGCAGAGGUGAACAACUACUUUUUAAGCACACCUAAAAAUAAACCUUGCUUUCUGACAAAGACAGUCAUUGAUUGCUCCAUGAGCUGAAAAAGGUUUUUUGAGUGACUCCUUGCUUCAUUUCUACUCGGCUGUAAAUUGGAUUUGCUCGUUGAUUUUCUUUUCUUUUUUGUUGUUUAUUUAUUUUGUGGGGUUUUUUUGGUUGUUUAGUUUUGUAAAGGGGAAGUAUGGGAGAAAAUGUAUGUUUGGCCUGUAUGUCUCAGCUGAUGUGUAAUCUCCAUUAGCUGUUUUUGCUGGGAUGGAGCUUUGGCACAAAGGGCGUAACCUCAUGGACUCUGCUUAUGCCUAGUCAUUCCAGGACCAGUUGACUGCCAGUUUUCCAAAAGAAAUGAGGAAAUAGUUGUCUAUAAAUACAUUCCUCCUUUAUUUUGUGAGUUAUUUACAAACCUGACUUAUUUUCUUAGGUAUUUCUGCAAAAAUAUGAGACAACUCUUUGUCAGUAGGUUGUCUGUAAGUAAUCCACUGCUAGUGAUCCAAAAUUAAAAUUGACUAGGUAAGAGCAAUUCUCAGGAUAAUCUUUCUGAUAAAAAGUCCUUCAAGUUAGAAAUUUAGGAAACGAUCUCUGAUAAUAUCUUUCAAAAUUUGCUUAACAUAAGCAGAUUUUAUGAGCUGGCUUUUCUGAGAACACAAAUAGUUUGAACAGAAUCAUAGCAGAAGAGUUUAAAAUCAUGAGCAAGUAUUCAUAGAACACUUUUAUUUUUUCUUGGGGCAGUUGCCUGGUCUUGCUUUCCUAGGUGGUGGUUAACUGUCCAUCCUCACCAAGAAACAGUACUGGAAACCUGCUGAUUCUCUUUUCACAGUUCUUGGAUAUGCAAUUUCACACAUAGAAAAGAAAAAUUGUGUGAAAUGUUGUAACUGACAUUGUCAGUCAGCAGGAAACCUGAAAAGAGAUAUUGAGAUUGAGCUGUGAAAAGUGACAGUAGUGGAGCAGUACAUUUUUAUGUGAUAGAUAGAGCUGUAGGGCGCAGGUCAUUGCAGCUUGCAAGGGGCAAUCUUUGUGUUACUGAUAUCCCCAAGGCUGCAAAGGCUGAGUGCCAUGCUUGGAGAGCUGACGGGCAAUUUGCUAAUAUAGCAAUCUGAACACAAGAAGAACCAGCAUAAAUGGGAGGGGCAAAAAACCACACAGAGUAUAUGUAUUAUACAGAUGUAUUGUACCCUUUUUUGCUUAUUCAAGUAGCAUACAGUGGAUAUUUGAAAAAAAAAAAAAUGUUGUACACAAAUCUAGGAAGUCACAAAGAUUUUUAAAUUGGAAAGUUUUACUUCUGAAAACUAACACUGUCUUAUGUUAAAUCACUCUUGUUUGAUCAAUAGCACUGCACAAAUUCUACAUCUGCAUACUUUCUCAGGUUUUUUGCAUGCACUAGACAGUAACUGUUAAAAACUGAAAGGGCUAGAAAGUACCUUCUCCCAAGUACCUUCCCAUUUCAGGAGCAGCACUUAGAGAGCUUUUUGUUUCCUUUGUUGUUCUGUAGCUUUCUAAGUCUGAGGUAUGAGGUGUACCUUUCCUAAAUAUUUCUCUCUGAAUGUGUGACUCAAAGUUUGUAUAAAAAGAAAAUCAUAAUAAUGGUAACAGUGAAUAAAAAAUAAAAUCAUGUUCAGCUUUAAUGUGCAAUUCAAAUGAAAUCAUGUUGAUUUUGUUUGAUUUCUCUUUGCAUCUUUUCAUGUUUGAAAAGAUGUUCAUGUUUCACAUUUGAUAUAUGUCCCAUUUUGUCACCAUUAGAAUAAAAUAUUUUGAUUUUUUUCCUUUUCAAAUUAUUUUUCAUUUUGAAUAUUUUGAACUCUAGUAUGUAAUAGAUGAUUACAUUGCAAACACAUUAUGUUGCACUUAAAACUCGAGUCAGUGUGCAGUAUUCCUGCCAUUUUCCUUUACAAAGAAUUUAGAUAUUUUCUGAUUGGAAAUGAAGACAAAUUUGGAAACUUCAGGAACAGUUGGGGAAGGAAAAAAAAAAUUGUCUGUUUUACUGUCCAGACUUGUCUGGACCACUUCCACAGAUGGUGAUGCCAAGUGGUUCAUCAACCUCUUGCUCUGAAAGUAUUGUUUCUACACUGCACUUCAGUCUAUGACUUAUGUUAUUCCUGGCAUUGUGCACUUCAAUUUCUCCCAUGCUGAAUCUUUUAUAUUAGUAUAGAAUUAAGAUAAUAAGAAUAAUUGCUCCUUUUUAAUAACACUUCAUGUGUUUAUGAACAGUCAUAUGCACAAGGAUUAUUUUCCAAAUCAUUGCUCAUUUUUGUUGUUCUCUUCUGAGUUCUCCAAUUAGUAUGUAUUUCUUUUUUUAUUGUGGUGUUCGUAACAGCAUGCAGUGCUCCAACUGAGGCUUAUCAAGUGAAGUAGAGCAGAAUAAUUACUUCAUUUCUUUUAUGCGUGACAUUCUUAUUAAUGUGACUCAAUACAGAGCAUUUGCCUUGUUUUGCCACAGUGUUGCAUUGUUGAUUCGUAUUCAAAUAAUUAGUCACUGUAAAUCCACAUGCUGCUCUGCUGUGUAACUCUGUGCUCUAGGAUGGGAUAUCCCACAGCUGUCAACAGGAGCACCCAGGAGCUGCAGUGAGGGUGUUGGACACUGUACAAAAGAGGGGCAGGUAAAUGACUUUUCUUAACCAGACUGCUAAGCUCCAUACUCAUUUGUGAUUACUGGUUUACAGUAUUAUAAGUAUAUUCCAGUUGUAAGUGAUUUCAGACUGCUGUCUCCAGUGUAUAAUACCUCAUCAUUUGUCAUGUUCCUUUUUCAAAAAUGAGGAUUCGCCCAUUCUUUCCACUUACUUAUUCUCCAGAAGAUGUAGUAACUUUUUUUAUAAUGAAAACUACUUGUUUUUCUAAAAAUCUUUCUGAUAACUUCAGUGAGAUCUGUACACUUGGGGUUGUUUUGCUAUUUAAAGAUACUCAGAAAUAGAUCAGACUUACUCCCCCCCCCCCCCCCCAAAAAAAAAAAAUUGUCUAAAAAUUGAAUCUGUGAGUAGCAUAUCAAAUUUGGAUGCUUAUACCUAAAGGAUCUCCAUUUCUUCCUGCCUUCUCUUCUGAGAAGAGUUGAAGUACUUACAGUGCUGUUUGAACCCAGGACAUAGAGCUUGGAAAAAAAAUGCAAGCCAUUGUGUCAUAGAAUUUUUAUCUGGCAAUAUUACAAGCCAGAAUUUUCAAGCUGAUUUGAAGAAAAACAAGGUGAAAAGUCUAUUGGGUCACACUUGAAAAUGUUAAGUAUUUUAGAGUCGUUUCAAAAUCCUGGAAAUUAAGUACUUCACAUCUACAAAGUUAACUGGUUUACUAAGUAUAAUGUCAUUUAUACAGUUUGCAAAGUCUGAAUACACAUACAAUAGUAAGAAAACUGUACCAAAGCCAUGUUAAAAGAAUUUGAUGUGUGGCAGAUUUGAGUUAGUAGGUACAAUGUGUUCUAUGAUUGGAAAGAAAAAUGGCAGACACACUUUCAAUGUGUUAGAAAGUAGAUGAAGACUCCUCUGAGACCAUGAAUCCCAAUGGAAACACUGCUGAUCUAAAGAUCAUAGAAAGAUAGAACCAGGUCACAUGCUGAUGCAAAUGAGCAUAGUUUUCUUGACAUUGGUGGACCUACAGUGAUUGAUUCCAGAUGAAGUGAUGAGAUGAUUCGGAUGUGCUAUGCCCUCCUGAAAGGCUGUUGAGAGAUGCUGAGAUCAGUGCUGGGAUUGCCUCACCAGAGGAAAAUAUGCAGAGUAACAAUCUCUCCUUUAAAAAAAUGUGAGAAGGAAGAAAGUAAUAGUAUCUCUCCCAGUGUUGAUGGAAAAAGUAGGCUUUGGUGGAAAGAAAAAUAGUUCAGUAGUCAAGAUUUUGGAAGGAAGGCAGUAAAGACUUUUCCUAAGGAAAAGAGAGCACCAGAAAGCUUUAGAUGUUCCCUGUUCUCACCAUCUUCAGAACAGCUCUGUGUGUAUUUACCCUUACUCUUCUUUAGGUGGUCACUGAGGUUUGACUCAUUGAGUACUCCAGUGUGUUGGCCUGGGAGCAGGAGAAAGGAUGGAGGAUCUAAAGGCAUCCUGGUUACAGCAGCAGCAUGACUGAAUCAGCUUUAAUGACUGGCUGAAGCUAGCACUGUAUCUAUGCAUCCAGCGUGGGCUGCAACAAGAGUGACAAUUCAGGCAGAAGCUGGUUUGGGCUGAGUUUUAUGGUGUUGUGGCUAGCAAAGUAGCUAAGCUAGCUCACCAAUGCUCUCCCAAGUUAUUUUUUGUCUUAACAAUACAGGUAGGCCCAAGCAUGAUACCCUUCAGUGGUUCAAGAACUAUCUAAAAUAUUUAAACAUUUUGAGAUGUUCUUCUUCUGGAAGUGAAAGUAAAAAGAAGACUGGCUCUGGAAGCCUCGCAACAUUUGAAGUAAAUCACUCCUUAUGGCAGUAUCAAAAUCCGAAGAUGCAGGGAUUUUGAAGACUUAUCUAUGGAUUCAAUAAAAUCUAAAAGCAGAUGUUUAGUAACGUAUUUUUCCUAGAUCAUCAGUAGCAGUAUUUAGAGGCAUUGCAGAGCUUUGACCAUUGAAUUCCUCAUAGCGAGCUGCAACCUGCUGUAAGUACUGUUCUUGCAUUUGUCUAUCAAAAGAGAAAAUAUAAGACUAUUUUCAUUUCAUACAAGACUAUUAAUAUUGAAACCAUUGACUAGUAGACUACUCAAUUAAGGAUAUAUUAACUAGGAUACUUUAUCUCACUCUUAUUUUCAAGAGUCAACAAUCCAAGUACAAGGAGACUAAUGACUAAAAAUUCAGCCUCUUCUGAACAACUGAUGGAGUUCUGUUCCUGAGCUACCUCCUCCUCGAUUCAUUCAGCAUGAAUGGCAGAUUCCUAUAUCGUGUCAAGUUUCAGAUCACCAUAGAAACAAACUAGGAGGCAGUUUCAUUAAUCAUUUAGAGCACAAGAAGUCUAGGUCAGUCUGAUUGCAGCAUAUAGAGUAUCAUCCUAGCGCCACAUGGGACUCAGUUGAUUUGAAUUAAAAAAGAUUAAGCUGCCCCUAGGACGCUCAGCAUCAUCAGUUUAAGUUCUCAUGUAACAGUGGUCUCUGGAGCCACAUGGAUUAGGAGACUGAAGCUAUGCAUUUAUUUUUCAGGGCUCAGUGAAACAUUAGAUGAGUGCAGGUGUCUGAGGGGAAAAAAGGACAAAGAUCACAUAUAGUUUUUUAGACUUGUUGCUGUUCUUUUGAAACUGGAAACAAUAACUCAGUUUUAUUUCUCCAGUGACAGUUACCACUCUUUUUUGGCAAUGCAGUGGUACAUCUGUUACCCAAUGUUUACAACUUAGAUUUAUAACAAUUUCAUACUAGGCACCCUAAUUUUAGUGCAGAGCUGCAAGUUGGGCAUAGAACAGUUUACAUGAAUGCUGACUAUUUUUUUCAUGAUGGAGUAAAAAAUGCACAAAAUAAAUACUGGUGACACUUUAGUUUUACUUGAAUGAAGAUUUAUUGCUCCCAGGAAACUUACUUACAGGCAGCUACAAAUCAACUUGACUAUGAAAUAGCUGUAUAUGUACACCACAAAAUGAGCCCCCCCCUCCCAAAGUACUCACCUUAUUUAUGGGUCUUUCCAGUACUUCAAAGACCUUUAGUAACUUAGUCCAGACUGGUUUAUUGCUUCUUAGAACUAAGACGUUUCAAGAGGAAAGUCGUAGGUUACAGUGUAUUAGGACUCUCUCUUGGGCGGCUGAGAAUCCCAUGAUGCUAUAUGAACUGUUGAUCUAAAGCUUAUUAUAGCCUCACUUCCUACAGUAUAAUUCUUAAAUCUUUUAAGUUAUACAGUGCUGUCUUUAAUCCUGAGCACUAAACCUUAAAGCAGAACUAGUUUUCUAAUAACCAGAGUACCAUCUGUGAGUAGAUAUAAUUAUGCUUUGUAAAAAUACAGUUCACUUGCUUGCACAGGUGGUCCACGACCUAUUUCAAAUUAUUUGAAUUUUCAAAAAAUGUUUUACAUAGAAAAAUCUGGGAGCGAAAUCCACUGUCCCAGUAUUCUUUGUGGAGGAAAAAAAUGUAUGUGGGUAGAUGUAUUCCACUUUACUCAAGAACCAGAACACCUCACCCUUUGUGUUUUUCCAAUUUGCCCUUUCUGUGCGAGUUAUCUGGGCUUUGAUAGUAUCAGUGUAUCAGUGGUGAAGUCUCCUGUUAUGUAACACAUCUAUGGACAUGGAAAUAUAGUAAAUACUUUUUUUUUUCCCCCCUGAUAUGUUGUCAUUUUUAAACGUGUUAUUCUAGGGAUUUCCGGGGAAGAAAUAACAUUAUGCUCUGGAAGUAUUUUUAGAUUUUUCUAGCACUGUGCAAACUGACUGAUUAUUCCCCUGGAAAGGGGAAAGUGAGUAUUAUCCCCACUUUGCACGAGCGGAAAUUGAUAUGGAGUCACACUAAGCAACUUGCCUCAGGCCAUGAAGGUAAACAGGGACCAACACUGUGGUGCUCCCAUUCUCCUGCCCCGUGCCCUGCCCAGGCCCUGCUAUUUACAGCUUGCUGUCAAAUGCCCUUAAGGAAAUGCAGAAUACAGGAAUUAAAGCAAACACAUAACAUUUUCUGCCUCCCAUCAGGGCUUUGUGUUAUCUAGUAUUUAUUGAGUGUCAGCAUUAUGCUGGUUGCUACACAAACAUAAAAGAAAGCGUGGUCCCUAUGCCAGAAUGUAUGUACGUUCUACUUUGUGUUGUCACCCAGAUGUUUCCAACCAGGCUGCCUAGCUUUGCUGUCCCUUUCUGGUGCAUGAGAGAGCUGAACUCACUAGUGCCAGGGGGGUAGCUGUGGCAGACAACCAGCAAUGGUGAGGGGGUCCAGGCUGUGCAUUUGCUGAGUUCCUGCAAACCACCUGGAUGAGUGACUGUCACCACACCCACAGGGAACUGGUCUUUGUAAAAAGAGCCAUGGGGCUGAAAAGCAGGGAAUGACUUCUUUGAGCUGAAUACAUGUCCUCACCCUCCUGGGGAGCAUGGGCAGACCUGUGAAGCCCCAUUUUUCUCCCAGGCUCCUUCCACCUGGAGGAGGAUGCAGUGAGUCUGCAAUGAUACACAAGUCCAUGUGGGAUCCCUGAUCUCUUCUGCUGCUCAAAGCCACAAGGGAGGAGAUAUCUUCUGCGUAGCCUGUUUCCAACAGGUGAUGUGCAUUUGGGCAGCCGUCAUGUCAUGCCUGGAAUGUGAUGAAAACAAGAGGUCCUGACUGCUCACUACUGAGGAGCUCCCAGAGCACUUCUCACAGGAGCAGGGGUGUUAACCCUGAUAUCCUGGUCAAAUUCCAACAAGGCUAAUUAUAUCCCACUUACCUAAAACUCUGCCAUGCUUUCCCUGCUUGCUGCAAGGUCUUGCUAUGUGAAACAGGCUCUCUUCUGAUCUUAUUAAACACUAUGGUCUUCCGCAUCAGAUGGGGAUAUAUUUAGGGGACUGCUAAAGUUAGGUCUCAGGUUGAUAUAUUUCUUGUCCAGCGCAGUAAUGCUGGACGUAAACCGACAUUGUUUGCAGAAAGAAGAGUCUGCAUUGCAAGUGUAGUUAAGAACAGCCACUUGCAAGCAAUGGUAAUGGCCAUAGUAACAGUAUCCAUUGAGUUCCUGUAUCCGGCCUUCUGCCUGAUGGAGAUUAAGAUCAGUGUGGGUGGGGGCUGAACACUGAACAAAAGUGUGGGGGAAGAGUGGCACAGGUGACUGUUCCCUGGCGGUGAGAUCAAGGUGCCCAAGGGGGAGGCAGAAGGGGCUGUGCUUCUUUCUGAGUCUGCUUCAAGUGCACUACACUAUAUUGAGGAUGCUUGUGACAGUGUAGCCAUUGAAGACCCUAUAGUAUGUGAAUUUCCUGAAGAUCUCAGGCCUAUGAAGUGGUACUAAGAGAUUAUUUUAGCUUUGCAAAGGUGCUGUGAUAUCAAGCAACGGGGAAAAAAAUAUGUGUUUAUAGUUUUGACUAAAGAGUAAAUUAUCAAAGAUGACAUUGAAGUUGCCAUAUUGCAUCUUAUUAUUUGUUUUUAAAGACUGUAGAUGUGGUGUGUAAUGCUGCUGAAAUGGCCACAUGAUAAUCCCAGUGAGGCUUUUUGCUUCUUGUUUAGAAAUAAAUAUUUCCAGGAGGAAAACGAAUCAUGUAAAUGCACCUCUUCCCCUUUAUCUACUGGAAUCUCAUCUAUCUCAUUAUCUUUUCGGUACAAGCUGCCACCAAAAUAUCUUCGAAAUGAACAGAUGUUACAGGUUUAGCUGGAAUUGCCCAAAGCAGAUGUAAGAGUGGAUACCAUUCUUACUGUUGUUUCUUAUCUCUUUGCCUGCAAAUCAAAGUUGCAUCUUUGUCUGCAAAGGUUCCUGUUGAUAUGUGAGUCAGCAAAGCCAUCUCCUUAUAGCUCACCUUGUAUGGCAGAGCCCUACAUUCACAGAUUUUCUUCUCCAUGAUACACAUGCAUGCGUAUGCACGCAAACACACACACACACACAUACACAUAUGUGUUUACACACAUAUUGUUAAGUUGUUGGUAGCACAGCGGUGCUGUUACCUAGUAGAAUUAUUUCAGAUUGCUUCAAAUUUUUAGUUGAAUAGAUGACAGUAGGAUAUGUAUUAGAUAAAUUAAAUGUGUUGGUGUUCACACAAGUAUAUGCACUUGAAGCUAUUUUUGUUUUUUGAAGACAGGUGCCUUUAGCACAACUAGCAACCUUCAAAAAUGUGAAUAAGGGCACAGAGUCUUAAAAGCCUCUUCCUGUCUACUGUGUCUCCCCAGACAGGCUGAGGCCACAUUAAUGGAAAAAGCACAAAGUGAACAAGAUGACCUAACAGAUGCUACCAGGAUGUACUGUACUUUUCCUAAGAUAAAUAAAGCCUGUCAUUUUCAGCAGUAUCAGCAAACCCCACAUAUUCUUUACAGUGUAAUAAAAUAUAGCAUUAUAGUGUUCCAAAUUGCUUUGUAAGUCCAUAUUCUUUUAACUAUUAUUGGUUCUCCUUAUUCUGUUUAACAUACUUAAAUAUUAAUUACAUGAGUAUGGCAUAAAAUAUCCAUCAAUCUAGCUCAUUUUCACUGUCUUAAAUGGGAGCUUAGAGUAAAAAAAAAAAACAGCAUAUAAAGUAAACUCUGAACUAUUGCAAUUUAGAACCUCAGAUUUCAGACUUAUAAGCUGCUUUUAUUCAGCAGCAAAAUUACUCCAAAUGACUUUGAGUUUCUGUAAAAAAAAAGAAAAGAAAAAAAAAAAGAAAAAAACUGCAGCAACACUAAGGCACUCAAUUUCUGCAAGGACUCACAGAUUUAUCAUCUCAGAACUAUAAAAGAGCUGGGGAAAAGAAACUCUCCCUUCACUAAAGAUGAAUUUGUAUUUCUUUUUUUACUGUAGAUAGGUUUGUACAUCAGAUGAAUGAAUCUUAAAAUUUCUCUGAGGAGAGAAAGAUUUCUCUCAGGUUAACAGAUGCCACACCAGUUUGCUCAGACAUGUGCAGCACACAAAUUCUGGACAAAAUUUCUGACUAUUCUUGUUCCAGCAGAGCCAGUUUGCAGUUUCUCAAACCAAUCAGCAAAGCAGAAUUUUCCUACCCCUAGAGAUAGGUUUUGUUUUGAAAGAAAUCAUUCUUGCAAUGGAAGAUGGCUUUGCACCCAUCUUCCCUGCCUCUAUCUAGCCUUUCUGUCCUUGAAACCUUGUCCUUUCCACAGAAGCACAGAGCUAGUUGUAUAAACUGGCAGCUCAUAUCUAUCUCUGUGUCCACAUGGAAGUAGGUCAUUUUUUGCUUUUUCUUAAAGACUGUUGCUUUCAGCAGCAUUAUUUUUUUUACAAUCAGUAUAGUGCUGCCUCCAGCACCUUGUUUCUGGGAGUGACAAGCUGCCCUAAGCCUAAUAAAUGCUCAUAAUGAGUGGUUAUAGAAAAGUAGUUUCAAACAGGAGGUUCUUUCCAUAGCAAAGACUCAGCUCUGCAGCGUGUCCUGCACAGCCUGAGCUAUCCCAUAAUACUUGGACCAUCAUUAAGCCACUGAAUGUUACAAAGGACUGUUAGCCAGAGGAGCUCAUUGUUUCAUAUGAGUGCUUUUAUAUCAUUUUUUUUUUCCUGUCUAACAUAAUUGUGUUAUUAUUCUUAUGUAUUUCUAAUCCUAUUUGAAUCCUGUUCUGCUCUUGAUCAUUCCUGAUCUCACCUGGAAAAUGGGUAAUUGUCACUGUUUGUCUUACUAGCAAGAUAUUUAUCUAGGCUUUUCCAAUUAUCUGCUGAUAUUUCCCUUAUGUAAUGGGAAACAUGAAGUCAUCUGAUACCAAAGUUUGAGUAAAUCUAGUUCAUGUUGAAAUUGCCUCAAAUGGUACCAGUGACAAAAUCAAGAUCAUAGCAUGCAAUAUUCUGCUGAGAGUUUAAAACAGCAAUUUUGAAGAAGACAUCUACAUCCCAAGUUCUGGGUCAAGAAAUAGAGCUAUGUAUAUGCCAUUUGAAGCAUGAACCUCCACAGUGCAUUACGAUUCUUCCAUCUUGAUACAGGAUGCUACCUGAGCUGUUCUACUGUAUCAGAUGAAAAUCAAUAAGGAAUUGCAGAUCUAUAAAAGUAGACAUCUGAGUGGUAUAGAAGACUAUAACAUGGAACAUGGAUUCAUUUUCAGUUUUGUCAUGUUUCUCUUCUGUACUUCCAUAAUCAGAAAUGCAUUACUUCAACAGAAUGCUUAAAAAUUCAUACAUGUGACAUAAUGCUUCACUGAACUUUAAGAUGUCAGUUUGGAAAAAGAAAGAUGGAAAAUUUGGACUUCAUAUUUUAAACAGUUUCCUUACAAUAAACUUUUCUGGUCUGCUGAGUCUUGUCCCAAGUGGAAUUGGUGAGAUACAUCCUCAAGAGGACAGUUAGACUGUUGAAAACACUUGGAAAUAUCUCUUGGCUAUGUCUUAUUUAUAGAAGUCAACUGAGAGACAUGUGGUGUUCUGUCGUAUUGCUCUUCCAAGAGCCUCAUAUUUAUUAUUCUCAGUUGGCAAAAGUGUCCUUGUUUGAAGUUGUACAAGUUAAUCUCUGCCAGUUUAGCCCAAGAACACAAGAUCACUUUCAAACUGCUUUUCCAUAUUCCCGCUUUUAAAACAUCACAUUCAUCACGUGAUAUGUCUUCUUUUCUGUAGAUGUGUGACGUGCAAAGCAAUUUAAUGCAGCACAUAGCAUCUAUGACAUCAGAACCAUUCCCUGCCAGCACUUUAACAAGAUUCCAUUUUGCAUGUCCAGCUUCAGGACUUUCCGAGGGCUCUGUUGCUUUAAGAUACAGAAGACUGGUUCAGACCUUCACAAGAAGCUGUCAGCAGAGUUUGCAAUGUCCUGCAAGCCUUGAAUUGCAUGUAGGAUUUUGUAUUGGCUCAGUAUUACUUACAGUGUUUUGCUGUUUGUGAUUAGGUUUGCAGGAAGGCUGACUGCGGAGUUCUGAUCUGGAUUUCUCCAAAGUGUUUGGGUCUGUUCUGGGCUGCAGCAUGCUGUAGUCAGCAUUUGUUCAUAUCAACAUCUGUAAAACAUUUGGCAUUACUUGAAAAUAUUAGUCACAAUUGUAAAACUAAUAAAAAUCCUUCUUUCUUAUUUUAACUAUAAGGUGGUCAUAUAUGCUGGGCACUCAUCAUUGAUUUAGAUGUUAUCUCUCUGCUAGUAACAUUUUUGCUGUGCUUGCUCCAAAGGCUGCAUUUUUGAUCUGGGAGCAAUUCUCAGCUAAGAAAAUUCAUUCAACUGAAGCUCUGUGCCAGAACUUGGAGGACUUGCAGUUGAUUUACAUCCAGGUGCUCUAUACCAAUUUGUACCAAUUCUCAAACCUCUCUGACAAAAUCCACAGUAGAUUUUCAGCAUGCCCUAAUAAGCAGCACUUUCUUAUGCAAAGGGAGGCUCCUCAGAUGAUCACUCAGACUAUAAUAAAGAUGAGGACUUUGUAUAGAUAUUUUAAACACUCUAAAUGAAAGGUAUUAGCAAAGUGUUGUGAAAUAAGGGCUUCACUAUAUGAAUUACUUACCUCUGAAAUGCAGUGUUAUUGUAGCAAAUUAACUAAAUCCAGAGGCACUUUCCCCUGCAGAUAUAUGCCUACAGUUGUGUCUAAAUGCAAUGCAGGAUGAAUAAAGUCCUGAGUGCCAUGUGGUAAAAAGCACUUUUCAUGUGGCAUAAGCACUUCAACCCAUGAAUUUGCAAUUAAAAUGAAUUUCAAGAGGCAUUUUACUGAGAUUACGUAAUGUAUUUGUUAAGUAUAUGCCAAAUAUUCACUGCUCAUUGGGCUUUCUGAGUCAGAAAAUUCUGUGUAUACUUUCCUUUACUAUGGACUAAAUAAGGAGCAACCACUUCUUAUCUGCUGCGGCUUGAAACAGAGUCAGAUAUUAUGAUUUGGCAACUUGUCAUGCUGAAACAACUCAGUCAUACAGCCACAGCCUGAGGGUGUAUACCGCCAUAACUGGAAUUUGCUGACGAAUUAUGAGAACACCCCUCAUAUGGACACCGCUCAUGCUUCAGACUAAAAUAUACAACACAAUUUAUAUAUGACAGCAUAUAUAUGACAUGCUUUUGCAUAGUCUUGCUACGUUUUCCAAAAUGUCUCAAUUUUUGGGUUACAGACUGUGACCCACUUCAAGUUCUUGCUGGGUAAAGCCAGAAGUUCUCUUUGUGUGUGUGUAAUCUUGUAAAAAUUGAUUCACAUUGGCCUGUUUCAACUUCAGAAGUCAGUCAGCAGGAAUGGCACCUCUAGUUCCCAGGAAGCAGAGAAGAGCUGAUGCUGUGUCCUUGAAAAUUUGCCCUGUAUGCCCAUCAGUGAUGGUGCGUGGCUGUGCUGAGCGCUUCAGUAACAGAGCUUUUUUCCCAAGUAUGGCUAUGAUGUCUUUGUUUAUAGAAUACUUUUCUAAACCAGGUUCAGCAUCAUGCCUACAAAAUUAGUAAUCACAUUUUUGGCAAGUAUUAGGUCAUACUAUCUGCAGAUUGUUCAUAGCUUGUUUAGGACUAAAUAAAAUUUGCUCUUUGUUCUGAGAUUAGUUUUCACUUCUACUUGGGCAGAGCUUCAGCUUUCUCAUUUAUCUGCCAAAUGUCACUUCACUGAGUCUAUCCUCCCACCCAAAAGAGGAAGCUCCUUCAAAGCUACAUUUGCUGGACUUGGAAAAUAACAUCUAAGGCUCCCUUAAAUAAUGACCAUAAAGAAUACUUCCGAGAUAGCAGACAUUAGUAUGAUGAUAUUAGUAUCAACCUCAGCUCUUUUGUUAUUCUUGUGUUUUGAAGAGCCUCAGGGAGGAUUGUAGGCACACCUUUUUCACUGGUGUCUUUUGUUGGCUGACCUGAAGGUAGAAGGUGCCCUAUCGGGCUAUAGUGAGUUUGUCUGGGGCUCUUCAUUCCAUCUGCUCUACUACUCUGCUAAGCGUUCCCAUUCCUCAAUAGAUGUGUACAAGCAGCACUCUGGGCUAGCUGUCACUCACUCGCUUUCUGAAUGCAGAGAAGAAAAGGAGCAAAUGAGGAGAGAACAGUGAGUGGGAAUCGUUUCCCUGCCUUCCUGCCCUUGUCAGGCACACAUUAAUUGUGACAGUGGUUUGAACAUCAAAGAAUGUAGACAUGAGAAGUAAAGAUGUGAGCCGACAGAAAGAGAGAAAGAGGAAAGAAUAGGUGUGGUGUUACAAGAGGAGGUGUGUGGUAGAUCUAAGGGCUUAACUUCCAUGAGGUAAUUAUAGAAGCAUAAACAAUAAAUCAGACUUUAUCUGGCAAACCUUUGACCAUACAAAAAAAGGAAGAUACAUCAGUGGGAUUAUAGGAUCUAGCUCUGUAAGGCAUGGGUUAUAGCCAUGCAGUUUUGGGCCCUCGGUUUCUCUUUGAGCAGCUUGAUAGCAAGGCAUGCAUCAAAACUGUUACUGAAAACAUGCUGUGGGUUUCUUGUAUCUUCAGCUGAAGGAGAAAGCUGUUACUGAUUACUGGCUACGCUGGUUGUAUUUCAGGGCUGGUCUUGUGUGGUGGUUUUCUUUUCAGCUCUGAAGUCAGUUAGCUGUGUGAUAACCUCCUUCUUCCCCACCAGGGAAGAUCUCCAAGAGUCCACUUCUGUGACAGAUCUGUGCAGUGGAAAGAACUAAGGUGGGAACAAAGGCUCUCCUUCUUUCCUUUUCCGCACCCCUAUCCCCUUCUCCUCCAUUUCUGCAGCACCAGAAUGAAAAUCAGGCUCCUUCACCCCUUCAUGCAUACUGCAAAAUCUGUAUCACCAUUGUCUAAUCAACAAAAUGAUUUGUAAAGAUUUCACUUUACCUUUGAUCUUGCAAAAUGAGAGUAGCUUUAAGAAAAGCCAGAUACUUUAAAGAUCACCACAUGGUUUUAAUAGCAUUUUCUACUUUGUUUCAUAACUUGAAUGAACAAGAUAUGAACAGUAUUCCUAUUGUCACCACAUUUCACUGUGUUAUCACGUUUGCUAAUAUUUCCUAGUUAAAAAAAAUUUGGCAGCUAUUAUGAAGCUGAUGUAACUUAAUAUCUGCUUCUAGCUCCAUCAGUAGAGCCUGUUCCAAAGCUUACUGAAGCUGCUAGAAACUUGCUCUCUGGCUUCAGUCAGUUUGAGAUCUGAAGUACAGAAAGGGAAAUGACAUGCUCGGAAGGUUUCCCACCUUUCAGAUCCCAUUUCUUUUCCCUCUUCAGCUAUGCAAAAGCUCUCACCACAUUGCAGAGCACAGUGUGGUUUGGAUGCUGUAUGCACAUAUGUGAACAUGAUGGGUUUAUGGGUGUAUUUUUGCUGACAAACUGAAAUCAUGGGAGAAAGAGAGAGGAAGUACUUUGUUUCAGAUUUGAAGUUACAUUUUUGAAUUGUAAAUAGAGUUUCUGAGAAGUUAAACAAAAAUAAAGAUGUUUUCAUUUCUUUGCCACUGAAAAUGCACAGAAUAAAAAUUGAGAGGAGGAGUGGAGAAAGAUGACAUCCUGGACUCUUCCGUUUUGUUUUCUCCCCAUUACUGCCAUGCUCCUUCACUUGCAUGACAGGGGUGAGUCUAAACUAGUGCACAGAUUGCUCUUCCACUUCAUAGCCAGGCAGCUGCUUCCUGCCCUGAUAACUAAUUUCAUUUAUUUCCUUUUCAGAAGACGGCCUGCCCUGGGUGGCAAUUACAGUUGGUUAAUUUUGGCACAAUGUGAUUAAAAGCAGAUUGAUAUAAAUCACUGAACAGUGUAGCUUAUGAAAAUGCAAGUUAAAGUAGCGCCCCAACCACAGUGCUGUCAUGAGAGAAGCUGAAAGCCAGAUGUUGGUCUAAUCAUGAUAGAAAUAAUCUAGUAGCAGACUUUAUCCUCUGGAGCUUGAAAGCCUUACCUAAUGGUUUUUGUCAGCCAGAUACCUCAGUGUUGCAAUACAUAUUGAAUGUUUUAGAGGAUCACAAGUUGGUUUGUUUUCUUGGCUUAUAGAUGGAUAUUCUGGGAGUAGCUUUGUGUACACGAUCUGCGGGAGCCCCAGGUGAAAAGCACCUAGUAGGGGAUAAGAGACAUUCUGAGUAUCUAAGGUGUCCAAGUGUCUUGGACACUCAAAAUCUUACCUUAUUUUAAAGUAACCUAUGUGUGGUUGUGUCAUUAGAAUAAUGAACAAAUAAUGAGUGCUUCUGGAAUCACCAGAGGUAGAUAUAUGUGUGUACACUGAGUGUAAUUAAAACUGCAAACAGAUCCUUCCUGCAUCUCACUGCAUUUAUCAAGGAAAAACUACAUUAAUUGAAAAUAGUGCCUGUAAGUUAAAGUCUUUAUUUUUGGAUCAGCAGAGAUGUGAUAGGAUGAGUUCACCUUAAGUUAAAUGUGAAUGCCCCGAUUACAAGCUUGUUUCAGGCUCUGUAUGGCUUAAAAUGUGAGCCUGUUCUGGCUACUGUGCACCCAUAGGUGAUCUCUGCAGGCUGAAGAAUAAGUGUGGGGGCUCCUGAGCCAGCAUCCUGCCCAACACUUUCAUCUGGCAUGCUGUCAUCUCCUCUGAGAGGCCCUGCAUGAUAUUGAGGUGACACAAGGUGCAGCUAGGGAGAGAUGAAGCUAUGGUCCACAAUGACACAGUUCAUAUGUACUAACAGACACCAUGUGCUACUGCUAUCAGUUUUCAUACCAGAUUAUUCACUGGGCUCUGCAAUAAGAAAAUGAUAGAAAAGCCAUUAAUUUGGCUGGUGAUUAAGCUGGACAAGGAAACCCUAUAAAGACCAACAUCUGCUUUCUAAAAUAGAAUAGUCCAGAUGGAAGGGACCUACUAAGGUCAUCAAGUCCAGCUACUGUGGAUGGCAUAAAAACAUUUGGUUCAGGGACAAUUUAUGCCCUCCAAAAAUGUCUUUUUUCUAGGGACAAACCCUCCACUUCUUUCAAAGGUAUUUUGCACCUGGUAUGUGCAGUCUACAUUUUAUAACAUUUUUAACAAAAGAAAAAUGUAAGAAGAGGGAACUGCUUCUUUGUUUUGCUUGAGACUUGUGCCAGAACAGUCUCUAAGGAAUUGACGGUGCCCUGAUCAGAUAGAAAUAAAUCAUGGGGACACUAUUUUAUAUCCUUAUGUGUCUCUGUGCAAAUGCAUUUGGAGAUGGUGAUGUGAAUGUGAAAAAAUAACAUUUGUGGAGAUAUGGAAAUGAAGAGGGAGGAAAAAAGAGGAAAAGAGAAGGGGAGCAAGCUGCUGAGAGCACAGCCACUCAGCCAGCUACCUGCAUCAGACAGUGACCAAAGCCUCUGCCCAAGACAGUCUUUGUAUUCUAUGAUAUGAAUUUUCUUCAACAGUAGAGCACAAUUUUCCUGAACUCUCUUUUUCUUUUCCUACCAAAAAGGAUGUUUUGGAGAAUCUUUGCUGACUGUCACAUUGCAAUUACUGCAGUGCGGAUGGCAAAGUUUGUGGGAAGGAGGAAUACUGAAGAAGAGUUAAAAAUUAAGGCAACUUGUUUGGGUUUUUCGUUGUUGUUUUUAUAUAUAACAUAUGCAGAUCUGUUGAGGUUUUUUUUUUUUCUUCAUUUUAAGAAAAGCUUCAAAAUUAGGAUAGAAAAAUGAUUUUUUUCUCAUUCCCAGUCUUUUGUUUUAAGCAUCUGUGCUUUGUUUUAAUCAUGGAUGUGCAUGAUCAAGAAAUUACACUGAGAUCUGCUCCCAUUCCAUGGAACACUCAGAGCAAAACCUCUAUGGUUCUUCAGAGUAACCUUCUCUUGCACUGGGCUUCACAUCAUAUACUACUUAAAUCUGAGCACACACACUUUCAGAGUCAAGGCUUUACAAGGUCUGGACUGUUUCUUUCUUUGAUGAAUAGUAUAUGGUGCCAAAAUUUGCCAGAUCCUGCCUGUACAAAACAGGGGCUUAGAAUUAACAUUGUAUGUGUUUAAUGGCAGAAAAAAAAAAACAGACUUGGUCUUCUGGUGGAAGGGAGUCUUAUGCACAACAGUAUCUCUGGAUUGUAUUUGUUGCUUUCACAGACAUAAUGACUUUUCCAUGUGUUUGCUGCUGCUGAAAUUGCCAUUAAAAGAACUACGUUGAUGGUAUCAAAUUCUUGUACUUUUGUGGUAACCUUGUUCAAACAAAGCAAGAAACUUCACGCUUUUUCAGAAGCUGUACCCUUGACACAAAGAGAUACGGAAAAAUAGAGAAAGGUGAUGAGCUAUUCUCAAAUCGAGAAUAUCUAAGCCAGUAACUUAAUGCUGGCUUAACACUGUUUUGUUUGUCCUUAUUCCCCUGUAAUCAGAGAAGACUGCAGAUUCCUAGAAAUCCAUCAGUAUGGCUCAUUGCUGGUAUGGCACAGUGGUGGCACUAUGCAAGAUUUCCAACAGUGCCAACCAUGUGUUGUGUGUCUGUUCAGCAGAAGCACUGGUGGGACAGUAAAAUGCUUGCUUGAGUCAAGAUAAUGUCAGUUGCUUAUGCUCCUUAAAAAUCUACUGGUGCUAAGAAAAUGUUGCUCUAAUCAUCUGAACGUUGCUGCUUUGAAAAAGUAUGAAUAUGAAAUCCCACAUAUGUGAUAAUGAUUUUGAGAAAGCAAUGAUCACUGCAACUAAAGCAUUUGCAUCUGUUAAAAGCACAGCUUGCUCUUUCACUUGUGUCAAAGCUGCUGGCACAGAAUUCAAAGUACUGGAUUGGCAACUCUAUCAGGAAGCAAGUGCAGCACAAAGCCAUAAUAGCUGUCUUGGUUUGCUUUUGUUAUCUAAAAAAUUUCAAGUGCUUUGGAUAACAUAAGGUGCCAUAUAACUAUGGAAGCUGUUGGGCAGCAGCUUGACAACCAUAUGCCUAUAUCUAUAAUGUAUGCACAGCCUCAUCUUUAACUACAUGUUUUCCUUUAGCAGCUGUGGCAACAGUGGUGAGUUCAAACAAUUCCCACACAGUGAAAAUGCAGCUGGAGGCAACGGCUUCUCUGCUGAGGGCACAGAAGACACAAGCACUCCGGUCACUUAAAGACUUUCAGAGGGGCCAAAGUAACCUCAGCGCUUACUGUCUGAUCUAUGCCAACUGUGUUGCAAAGAUUCCCAUCCUAACAUUAACCAGCUCACUGUGAAGUCAUGCACAGUGCAGAAAGGCAGGGAUAUUGGAGGUCAGUUCAGCACCGUGGUGAAGCAGCACUCCUGCUCCUGGUGCUGGUGCUAAUGCAUGUGGGUCACCAGGGCUAUCUCUGCACUGCUGCCAGGGUUAAGCCAGUUCAUGGUUCUCUGCACCUGUGGAGUAAACCUUUUUUUUUUUUCUGAAAACUCCUUUUUUGCCUUUCUCAGACAGUGAACAUGGAAGAACUGAGACAGUAUGGGAGCAGCUGCAAAGGGUAUCCAAGCUCAGCUAGGAGAAGGUAUGUGUGGCUGGCCAUGAGGGUGAAGAAAAUUCAGGCAACUUUCUUUUGGAAAGGACAAGCAAAGUCUCUCCAUGUCAGAAAUUUAGAGGUUUAUUCUGUAUGUUGCCUUGUGUUUCAUGUAAUAAAAUCCAGACCACAUACAGCACCAAAUCCUGCAGUUGUCAUUGUCUUAGAAGUCCUAUUCAAAGGUUAACUAACCACUAGGUGUUCCCCUGACAAAGAUAAAAUCUUUGUGUUCCAAACUUUCUGAAGAGUCUUUCAUUACAAUAAACAUCUCCUGCCCAGUAGCUGAGGCUUGUUGAGUAUAAAGAGCCUUUGUCAGGGAUGGAGCACAGCAGAGCUUCCUGAGGAUUUCUUUCCACUCUAAAACUGAGGUGGGUCUGUCCUCCCCACUCAUUUUAAUUUGUUCAUUUUUUCCUAGGAAACAAGUAUUGCUCUGGUUUUCAUUUUCCACAGGCUGCUUGAGUAUCUUGGAGUCUGGAGCUGAGGGGAAAGGAAAGGUUGUUAUCCUUAGUGGUGUUGCCUUUUAUCAUCAAUACUGGCUGCUAGUAUAGAAGAGUAGUAUACCAGCCAAGGGUAUAGCAGUCACUGCUACACAUGUAGACCAUGAGGACUGCUCAGCAACAGAGGCUGUGCAGGACUUGCGAUGUGUUCCCCACUUCUCUCUGAAAUACUUCAUAGUACAUCUGGAAUACAUGUUUUCACUUUUAAAAUCUGUCCUUUUACAAAUAAAAUAGUGUGGAAUCUGCCCAGAUAAUUCUCAUUGUAGCAGCACUAGUAUUGCUUCAUUGUUAAUCUCUUUUCAGCUGUGGCAAUUGUUACUCCUCUCCUCUCCUCUCCUCUCCUCUCCUCUCCUCUCCUCUCCUCUCCUCUCCUCUCCUCUCC
rnacentral:lncRNA from 1 species